GGACUACACGGGUAUCUAAUCCCGUUCGCUCCCCUAGCUUUCGCACCUGAGCGUCAGGUACUCCCCAGGACACUGCCUACGCCUUCGGUGUUCCUCCGGAUAUCUACGCAUUUCACCACUACACCCGGAAUUCCGUGUCCCUCUGAAGCCCUCAAGUCGUGCAGUUUUCGAAGCGCUUGCUCAGUUAAGCCGAGCACUGUCACUCCAAACUUACACGACCGCCUGCGUGCGCUUUACGCCCAGUAACUCCGGACAACGCUUGCCCCCUACGUAUUACCGCGGCGGCUGGCAC
rnacentral:rRNA from 1 species